UCGGUCGUGCAAAACCUUUAUCAGUCAACUCCUGCAACUGUGCUUUCAAUUCUUUUAAUUCGGUCGGUGCCAUACGGUACGGAGCUAUCGAAAUUGGAUUCGUCCCCGGUAUUAACUCAAUACCAAACUCUACUUCUCGAAUAGGUGGUAAACCCGGUAAGUCUUCAGGGAACACAUUUGGAUACUCACAUACAACAGGUACUGAUUCAAUCUUCUUUUCUAUCACUUUACUAUCAAGAACAUAUGCAAAAUAAGCUUCACAACCUUUUCUCACAUACUUCUGAGCCAACAUAGAGGAUAUCACUGCCAAUAAACCAUUCAGAUCAUUAGAUUCAAUCCGAAUAAUCUCGUCAUUCAGG
rnacentral:lncRNA from 1 species